UCCUGACGUUUUUUCUUUUAAUUUCAAACUGAGUAAUACAGAGCUUUUUAUGCGUAAACAGAUUCCAAUGAACAUCAACAGUAAAUCCUCGAACAUUAACAGUUCCAGUACAGAGAAACAUAGAAAGGUCAACGAUGAUGAGAAGGGGCAAAUUUUAGGCCACUCCCAAUCAAGAUACUGGGGAUCAUAACUAUUACCUCUGUUCUAUUAUAAGACUAUAAUCUUACCUAUAUUUAUAUAUAUGCUAAUGAAUUUAAACACACACGCAAACAUGUACAUUGAUAUAUAGAUAAAUUUAGACAAAUCUAGAAAUUUUUAUAAUAUAGAACGGAGAGAGUAUGAUCAUUUUCCUUAUAGUAGUAUCGGGCUAUAUGAUCAGGAUCCUAUGAGAUCAUUUUGAAUAAGUGGAAUCCUAGUGGGCUUGUCGUUCUUAUCGUUUCUGUAUCCUCGAUGUCAAGUUUGUUGACUACAGUGCUCAUUUUUAUCUAUAAAGUCAAUGAAGAGAACUUGUCCAGAUAAACCGUGAUGCUUACAAACUCAAUAAGCUGAAGGAUAACUCACCUUGGAUCUGUGCAACUCGAAGUCACGCUUUCAUGCCAAAAUUACCCACCUUCAUUAGAUCUCUUCAGACUCUAAUAGUAACACAUAAGGUCAACAAACAAGUAGCAAUGCAUGACAGGCAACAACAGGUCCUUGCAUUAGAGCUCUUCAGACUAAUAGUAACACAUAAGGUCAACAAACAAGUAGCAAUGCAUGACAGGCAACAACAGGUCCUUGCAUUAGAGCUCUUCAGACUAAUAGUAACACAUAAGGUCAACAAACAAGUAGCAAUGCAUGACAGGCAACAACAGGUCCUUGCAUUAGAGCUCUUCAGACUAAUAGUAACACAUAAGGUCAACAAACAAGCAGCGAUGCAUGACAGGCAACAUGUCCUUGAAUUGUCGUUGGAGAUAAAAGGGGUCAUCAACAUAUUUCCAACACGUCUAAUAUACCAUCUCUAAUGAGCAUUAUAAAUAUUACGAAUGUAUUAAUUCAGCAGCAACAGCAUCCUUGCACUCACAUCAACAUGGGUAAGUAGGCAUACCAGA
rnacentral:lncRNA from 1 species